UUAACUCUAACAGUUUGCUCAUAGAUUCUUUUAGAUUUUCUACAUAUACCAUUAAUGUCAUCUGGGUGUAAUAUUAUUCUUAUUAAUUCCUUUCCCACUCUUGUGCUCUUUUUAUUUCCUCUCAACUUAUUGCACUGGCUAAAACCUCCAGUGUUUUGCUGAACAGAAAUGGUGAUAGUGCAAACAUCAGAUUUCACUCCAUUGGAUCAGGGACAAAUGGUUUCCUCAGCUAAGCCUUUUGGCUGAGAAAUAUGGCAGACGUAACGUAUACAUGAUUUCAGUUAUAGAAAUGUAAACGUUAUGCAUUGAUAAAAAUUUGGCAUCACACCUGUGCAAGGUAUGCAACAUACCUAUUGUCACUUGAGAAGCACUCACUCGGUGUGUUUACCAAUUAGCUUCUUUAUCAUCCUCUUUACCAGUCAGUAUGAUUCUCAGGGAUUAGAGGGGAGGCUUUCUAGUUGUCCAAUCUUGAUAAUAUUACAUUCAAAGUUUAACAUUCUUGUCUGGCUAAUCUAUCUCACUUUCUCCACAAUGUUCCCAAGAGACCUACACAGUAACACGAUGAGAAGCAAAGAAUUUUCAUUAUGAGUUGCCUAAGUAUUCUACUCGCUAAUGUAGGACCACAAGGAGUCCUUCGUGAAAUGGCUCGGAUGAACUCAGCAGCUGAGGGACCUGUAAGUUUACCCUCAUACUACUUAUUACACGUGUGUUUUGUCAUUAUUUGUUCAGUGAUAUUCCCAGGAGCUGACAGACCAAAGAUCACGCACGCCUUAUCUGUUCAUUGCUCUAUCCUAAGAUCCCACCAAGUACCUGGCAUAGAUCUACCAUUUGUUGACUUUUAACUAGUAUGGGAGGUGUCAAAAAUGUUACUCCACCUAUGUGACACAAAGCCCCAGUUCGCUCAUUCAUUGUUUAGUCAUUCAAUAACUAUUUGAGGACAUGCUAUGUGCCAGGAUCUAUGUUACCCUUUUUCUAUCCAAUAUAUCAUUUAGUUCUCUCAACAUCCCUUCAACAUAGACAUCAUUACCCCCAUUUGAUAGAUGAGUAAACUGGGGCUGUGUUUUAACAGAGUUCACAUCCAAAGCAACACUAUUUGAGUCGAAAAGCAAUGUUUUGCAAAAGAAAAAAAAUGACAACAGACACAAAUAAAGAAUAUGGUGGGGUGAAGAUGUAGUAAGGCAUGGUCACCGCUUUGGAGGAUGUGAAUGGGUGUGAUGUGGCACCAGCAGGGACUAUUAUAUUUGAAAGCCAAAGUGAUACGUGUCAGUCAGAAGCUCUAGACUUUAAGAAAAAAAAGAAUUGUGGUGAGAAGAACCGUCCAACGGGAGAACGGUCAGCUUAGUGCCGCGAGCUCCCGUGUUGUCAUUCUGGGACAGACCCUCUACUAAGGUAUGAAUCCCAUGAUGCCAACGUUGCCUUUUAGGGGCUCGUAGUCUUGAUGUGGGAGCAGCACAAGUCAUUUACUUGUUUACUGCUGGAGAGGGCAGCCCAAGGUACUAUGGAGGCACAGACAUAGGAGUGCAUGACAACUCCUUCUCUACCAAGCCUUCCUUGAGAGAUCUGGAUGUAGUUAGAGAAAGGCCUUGUGAGAAAAGUAGGAGAGGUCUAGGUGAAGAAGAGAAAGGUAUUCCAGGAAGAGGGGUUGGCACAUGAAAGAGGCCCGAUGCCUCAAGUGCCUGUAGAGUAGAUCUGGAGAAAAAUGCUAGUAACUCAGUUGGGUGAAAGCUUAGGAUCACACGCUGGGGCAAUGGCCUGGACAAACAAGCCUCAGAUCUUGAAAGGUCUUGAAAGAUCUCCCAAGGAGGUCGGAUUUCUCCUUGUGACCCACAGGGCAGAGUUCUAAGCCGAGGCCUGCCCAUAGCUGACAGCCCGUCUCCUCCAUGCAUCCCAGUGUCUCUUAGCUAGCCUUGCUUCUGGACUCAGUGUGGAAAAUGUGCUAAUUAGUGAUGAAAACCAUUGUGUUCUCCAGGCCUGUAAAGGCUUCCUGGGAGCACUUUGCAGAAAGAAGUCCUGGCUGUUGCUGUCAACAUUUCAUGCGACUCCUGUAAUAACAGUAUCCUGGGUCCCCAGGCAGUUUUCUCUUCUCCUGGGUGUGCCUGCCUCAGUGUCACUCAGAGAAUCACAUCACUGUGGCCUGGUGCUCCAGUGUGCACAGAUCCAUUCAGGCCUGGAACCCGUCAGAGACACAGGGAAUUAGAUGUGUCAGGAAGAGAGGGGCAGGGCCAUAUAGCCGGGACAGUUUCCAUACAGCUUUUUGGCUCCUCGUGGUGUUUGUGGAAAAAGAACAUUUUUUGCUAAGGAGUGAGGUGCUCUUUGCUACCACCAUUUUUUUUUUUUUUUUUGCCCCCAGAGGUUGUUCUUGUAUUUAUCUGUUCAGGACUUUGAAAAUAUGUAAUAAACCCAUUUGUAUUUUAGCUGUAGUACCAAUGAAAUUAUGCUAAGCUAGUGCCAAUCCUCUUUUGGCAAACCUUUCCAAGCAUUCAGCAACAGGCAACAUUUGUUGGGUGGAAAGAAAAAAAGAUCCAGACGUUUAGGGCACAUGUUGAGGGGUAUGUGAAAACUCAAGUGUGAUUCACUUGGAGAGGCAUCUCAAUCCCCAUUUCACAGAUGUGUAAUUGGGCAAAUCGCCUUAGCAGGGAACCUCAGGAGUUAGGACAAAUUCCUCUCCCCUCCCCACCCACCAUUGCCAACUAGUCUCCACUCGCAUCUAACUGGUUACUGUGAAACCUAUUCAUCAACGCACCCUACCUCUAGAUCCAUUUUUCACUCUUCUCUUACUUGCUAUUGACCCAAGAAGGCUGACAUCUACAGAUCACAGGACCCAGGCUCUCCUGACCUCUCGCUUCCAGUUGGCCUUGGCCAGUGAGAGGUACUGGCUCAAGAUCAAAGAGUGGAAGGAUAGAGAGGCUGGGUAUGCUAUUCCCUACCCGGCCUCCCCCAGUUUAGCCAUGUUCUGUAGAAGCGGUGUUCCUGGCACAGCUCCUUUUGGAUCGGCCAUCUUCUCUGGCUUCUGAUAUCUCUGGGCUCUUAUAAUACCAUUCCCUUCCCUUGUCCCCUCAGGUCUGGGGGUGGCGAUACCUUCUUUUUCUUGGUUGGGCCUCAUUCCCUUAACCCUGCCCAUACCACUCAGGAUGAACUUAUUAAGUAAAAUCCUUCUGAGUGUGCCUGUGCCCUGCCAGACCCACAGUGACAAAGUCGCCAAGCCUCUUCAUUUUAUUUCCCCAGGAUCUCUCUCUUCUUUUCCCCACUAAUGACUCUCUUCAUUUCUGGGUUAGAUUUAUUAGAUAGCGUCCUCCCUGUCUCCAGUCUGGCCAGCUCCUUUCAUCCUCAUGCUACAGUCAGAUAGUUUCCUAGAUCAUGCAUGCAAGCAUGCCAUGUUCCAAAUUAAGAUCUUUCCAUGGCUCUUCACUUCUCUUCAGGUCAAAGCCAAACUCUGCCUGUCCACAAAGCCCUCCAUGGCAUGGCCUCAGCCAGCCUCUCCUUCCUGGCUGCUCCUCUUUAGGGGUUCCAUGCUACAGCUAUGAGGAAGCACUAGCCGCCUUCCAGGCCCAUCCAGCAUGCGUAUGCUCUCCCAAGAAAAUGGCUGCACAACUGGUAUUUAUUGAGCACUUCCUAUGCACCAGGCACAAACAUAGGAAUUUUUUGUUAAUGGGCAAUUCAAUUUAAUUCUCACAUCGACCCACCUUGGCAUCUGAUUUACGGUCUCCAUUUUACAGAUGGGGAAUCUGGGGACAGCUCUGCGAGGGAAACUGCCAUCAUCAUUCAGCUGAGAAGCAGUAGAGACCGGUUUUAAAUCCAGGCAUCCCAGCUUAGAGGGUCACAAACUGUAGUCAAUGGGAGCUCAAAAACCAACUAUUCUUUUAGAUUCAGCUCAGAGCUCACCUCUACUGAGGCAUUUCUCCUGAUGCCCUCCAACGGAAGAAGUCAUUCCCUCAUCUGGGUUUCUACAUGUGUUCCCUCAACUCAAGCCAAUGUAUUGCGAUCCGCUGUUUCCGUUCCUGUGGAUGGAGUCCCACGAACUGAGAGAGAACUUCCUAAGGAAAGGCCAUCAGCUUUCUGUGCAAGGCAGGCACCAGGUUAGGCUCUGAGCACACUGUAUGAGUUUAGUAAUCUGGGACUGAGUGGGUGGAUGAGUACAUUUGAAACAUGGCCACCUAGCUCAAGCCAGCAUCUGUGUAUAUCAGAAAAGGGAAAGUCAGUUCCAAAGCCCCCAGAGACUUUGUUCAAAUGUUAAAAGUCACUGAAAUGUACUGAGAACCUAGCGAGUCCCAGGCAUUGUUUUAGACCCAGGGUGAGAGCAAUGGACAAGAAAAAGGUGUCUCCCUCACAGAGAUGACAUUUGUGUUAAUCACUACAUUAAUAAAGUGAAUGAAGGAAUGGAGUGAGGGAGGAAGGCAUAUCUUUAGCUGAGAUGAUAUUUUGUAAGGGCUCUAAAGAGCCAUAAAGCACCAGGACAGAGAGAAAAUAGUGGAGGUCGGGGGGGGGGGGGUGCUUUCCUAGAGAGGAUAUUUGAGCACAGGCUUAAGGAGGCAGAACCGAAAGUUCUAGGAGGAUGUGGGGAGUGAAGCUCAGGCAGAGAAAAAGGCAGGUACAAAGGUCUUGAGCAGGAACAAGCCUGUCAUGUCUAAGCAGGAGCAGGACCUUCAGUGUGGCCAGGGCACGGGCACUGAGAAGGACGUUUCGGAACAUCAGAUACUGGAGGGCAUCAGAGGUGGUGAUUUAAAUUUACUCUAUGUGUGAGGGAAGAUGUUGGUAUUUUUGAUUAGGACAAAGUCACGAUCUGCCUUUCAUAACAAAAGAUACCUCCCUGGUACCUUUCUGGCUGCUCUGUGGAGAGAACAGGAUUUCAGUUCUCAGUCUCUUGACCUCCCACUGUGCUUAAGGUACAUCCUUAUAACCGACUAGUUAGUAGUAAUAAAAUAAUGAUAAAGUCAUUGACCAUCCUGAAAGCAAUUAGAUACUAAUAAUUUCAACUAUGUCUUUUUUGUGCCAAUAUGAUUUCAUUUUCUAGUUGUUGAACAUGUGCUAUUACCAGGCGCUGAUGUACUUAAUAUAUUUAACUUGUAGGGAUGUGAAGAGAAUUUAAGAUAAUGAUCGCCACCCCUCCCCCACCC